rnacentral:rRNA from 1 species
AGAGUUUGAUCCUGGCUCAGGAUGAACGCUGGCGGCGUGCCUAAUACAUGCAAGUCGAGCGAACGGACGAGAAGCUUGCUUCUCUGAUGUUAGCGGCGGACGGGUGAGUAACACGUGGAUAACCUACCUAUAAGACUGGGAUAACUUCGGGAAACCGGAGCUAAUACCGGAUAAUAUUUUGAACCGCAUGGUUCAAAAGUGAAAGACGGUCUUGCUGUCACUUAUAGAUGGAUCCGCGCUGCAUUAGCUAGUUGGUAAGGUAACGGCUUACCAAGGCAACGAUGCAUAGCCGACCUGAGAGGGUGAUCGGCCACACUGGAACUGAGACACGGUCCAGACUCCUACGGGAGGCAGCAGUAGGGAAUCUUCCGCAAUGGGCGAAAGCCUGACGGAGCAACGCCGCGUGAGUGAUGAAGGUCUUCGGAUCGUAAAACUCUGUUAUUAGGGAAGAACAUAUGUGUAAGUAACUGUGCACAUCUUGACGGUACCUAAUCAGAAAGCCACGGCUAACUACGUGCCAGCAGCCGCGGUAAUACGUAGGUGGCAAGCGUUAUCCGGAAUUAUUGGGCGUAAAGCGCGCGUAGGCGGUUUUUUAAGUCUGAUGUGAAAGCCCACGGCUCAACCGUGGAGGGUCAUUGGAAACUGGAAAACUUGAGUGCAGAAGAGGAAAGUGGAAUUCCAUGUGUAGCGGUGAAAUGCGCAGAGAUAUGGAGGAACACCAGUGGCGAAGGCGACUUUCUGGUCUGUAACUGACGCUGAUGUGCGAAAGCGUGGGGAUCAAACAGGAUUAGAUACCCUGGUAGUCCACGCCGUAAACGAUGAGUGCUAAGUGUUAGGGGGUUUCCGCCCCUUAGUGCUGCAGCUAACGCAUUAAGCACUCCGCCUGGGGAGUACGACCGCAAGGUUGAAACUCAAAGGAAUUGACGGGGACCCGCACAAGCGGUGGAGCAUGUGGUUUAAUUCGAAGCAACGCGAAGAACCUUACCAAAUCUUGACAUCCUUUGACAACUCUAGAGAUAGAGCUUUCCCCUUCGGGGGACAAAGUGACAGGUGGUGCAUGGUUGUCGUCAGCUCGUGUCGUGAGAUGUUGGGUUAAGUCCCGCAACGAGCGCAACCCUUAAGCUUAGUUGCCAUCAUUAAGUUGGGCACUCUAAGUUGACUGCCGGUGACAAACCGGAGGAAGGUGGGGAUGACGUCAAAUCAUCAUGCCCCUUAUGAUUUGGGCUACACACGUGCUACAAUGGACAAUACAAAGGGCAGCGAAACCGCGAGGUCAAGCAAAUCCCAUAAAGUUGUUCUCAGUUCGGAUUGUAGUCUGCAACUCGACUACAUGAAGCUGGAAUCGCUAGUAAUCGUAGAUCAGCAUGCUACGGUGAAUACGUUCCCGGGUCUUGUACACACCGCCCGUCACACCACGAGAGUUUGUAACACCCGAAGCCGGUGGAGUAACCUUUUAGGAGCUAGCCGUCGAAGGUGGGACAAAUGAUUGGGGUGAAGUCGUAACAAGGUAGCCGUAUCGGAAGGUGCGGCUGGAUCACCUCCUU